UAGCGGAGGAAAAGAAACCAACAGGGAUUGCCCUAGUAACGGCGAGUGAAGCGGCAACAGCUCAAAUUUGAAAGCUAGCCUUCGGGUUCGCAUUGUAAUUUGUAGAGGAUGCUUUGGGUAAAACGCCAGUCUAAGUUCCUUGGAACAGGACGUCAUAGAGGGUGAGAAUCCCGUAUGUGACUGGAAAUGUUAACCUAUGUAAAGCUCCUUCGACGAGUCGAGUUGUUUGGGAAUGCAGCUCUAAAUGGGAGGUAAAUUUCUUCUAAAGCUAAAUAUUGGCGAGAGACCGAUAGCGCACAAGUAGAGUGAUCGAAAGAUGAAAAGCACUUUGGAAAGAGAGUUAAAAAGCACGUGAAAUUGUUGAAAGGGAAGCGCUUGCAAUCAGACUUGUUUAAACUGUUCGGCCGGUCUUCUGACCGGUUUACUCAGUUUGGACAGGCCAGCAUCAGUUUCGGCGGCCGGAUAAAGGCAUUGGGAAUGUGGCCUUCACUUCGGUGGAGGUGUUAUAGCCCAGUGUGUAAUACGGCCAGCCGGGACUGAGGU
rnacentral:rRNA from 1 species